CAGAGGGGACAGCACACACAGGAACCGCUUAUUUGGGGAAGCACACGUGCACAGAAGUUUCACUCAGUAGGCUACAUAAAAUGUAUUUGAGAGCCCCUCCAUUGUGCAGAGAGCAGAUGCCCCUCUGAGCCCAGCCGUCUGUGCAGACAGGUCUGGGUCUGGCCACUGUGGCCCAGGAGCUGUGCCCUGUGGCGCCUCGGGAGGCCCAGCUGAGAGAUGUACUCUCUGUAGGGGGCUGUGCACACCGACCCGCCUCCCCCCGCUCGCUUACUGGACCGCUGGCACAGAGCCCCACACCAGUGUGACAGCGUCACCCAUGUUUGAGAUGCUGACACACUCAGGUCGCAGCACCGUUUCCCCAGGACCACACACCACGAGGAGGCUUCCCAGUAAGGAGACACCUCCCGGGGAGGGCCAGUCAGCAUCCUACGGGAAGGUCCUGCUCCUGCUAAACAUCAGGUCUGCCUGUGUCGCCUGCACAAGAAGUCACAACAAACCAUAACUCAGGAACUGGUGAGCUUUCCGUCGGCCAGCAGCCGCACGUCGGCAGGGUUUGGAGUGUUCCGUGCCCUGGCCUCGUUUGGGCUUGGGUCACGCCCAGGGUCUCCUCUCCUUGCCUCUUCAUUUAACUUCCUGUUUGCUUAGCUCAUGUUAUAUUAUGUCACCUGGCUAUCAUUUAUAGAACUUCUAAAGCCGAUAUUAAUCCUUCUAAAGAAUUAACAAGGACGAGUAUAAGUAAAUGCACAAUUCUAUCGGUAAUACCUCCCAGUAACAUGUUCCGUGGGGGAGGUGGCAUGUGGGAGGCUCAAGUAACUGGCAACACACAUGCUUCAUGUUCCAAACAUUUAUGGAUUCAGAUAGCAGACUUUGCAGGCUUGUGACAACUAAGCUACUAAUCUGUGUGCUUUUCUUAGCAGUGGUCUGUACAUUUUUCUUGUUUUGGUUGGGUGUAUAUCAGCUUUUGCUUUCUGCCUAUAACCCCUUCAUGUCAAGUUUCUUUGUGACUACACUCCUUGGAGUUAACUCUAAAGAUAAAAUUCAAGAAACAAAGCUGAAAUGUUUUAAUGUCAUAAUUAUUUAAAAACUAUGUUUUGGGAGCUACACAUUUUGAAUCGUAUGCCUAUUCUAACUCAUCCUCAGUGAGGGUUUUCUUUGUCCUGUUAUUGAGCACGUACUAUGGCAGAGGCCCUGCGUUAAAAACUGGUCAAUGACCGUCUUCUAACCCUCACAGCCACCCCGUCGGGUAGAGUUAAUUCCUGUACUUUUCAGGCAGAGCUGCUGAGGCUCAGGCCUCGGGAAAGCAGCUCUUGUGCUCGAGCCUAAACUCUCCUGUACCUUCCGAGACUGGCUCCUUUAGAGACCUCGUGUCUGAACAAAUACUCCUCGGUUCAACAGUACAAGCUGUGAUUGAUAUUACCCCUCAAACAAAUAAAGGAGCCCUCUGACAGCCAUCAAAGAAAUCUCAGCUAGGACAGACCAUCCUUCGGGUCACUUCGUGUUGGAAAUCGCUCUGUGUCAAUGCCAUAAAAAUCUGCUGUUGCUUUUCAUUUCGAAGGUCGGUUUUGCAAUCAGAGCAACUUGCCAAGUGAAAACAGGUGUGUGUGGGUUCAAAUUUUUCUGCAGGGACCUGGUAUCAGCUCACACUAAUGAAAUCCAGUGUAAUUACUAAACAAGCUUGGAGGGAGACCCAUGGAGGGCCUGCCAUGCAACAGGACACUGGGUGACCAAAACUGAGUAAUGACAUUCAUCUAGGGUUCAACAGCCCUGCAGGUCAGGCGCACGCACUUAUCAACUGGAAGCCUGCAGCUGCGAGUACCCCCCUCCUUAGCUUCCAGUCAAAGCUGAGUAGUGUGAAGCUACUGGCAUCCUAGAGAAGGUCAGAAGCUUCCGUCUUCAUAGUGAUCAGCUCGGCAGGCCCGUUCCAUGUAACACUCCAGACACAGAAGUAGGGUUCUAGUUUACUGAGCACACUUGUUAGAGGUAAGAUGUCUGAGCAGUAGGAGUUCGAUAAGGGUAUUUGAGGAGUGGCCUGGAAUCUGAGUGGUAGAUACCUGUCCCACGAAAAUCAUCUCAUUCAAUAACUUAGGUUUGCUUUUCUUGCCAUUUAUGACAUGUCGGUUGGUUGAGAAAAUGUUUCUGUACUCAUAUUCUUUUCCCUUUUAAGAAGUUAUCUUGUAGAUAUGCUAACUAAGAGUAGCUACUUCAGAUGAAUUCUUACCUAAAUGAUUGUUUUUUGAGAAAUUCUGAGGAAGAAAGCAGUCAGGCUGUGUGUGCUGUAUCAUUUGGUGACUUGUCCUCUUGUAUUUGACAGAGUCUUACUGGUGACUUUCCUAAACUGCAGCGCCCAUGUGUCGUCUCUGUUUUCUGCUCUUAUGCUUAUUGACUUAUUCUUCGCUGUGUGACAAGAAAGCAAUUCUGAAUAUAAGGAAACCGUCUCUCCUGACAAAAUGCACCCUUGACGUGGAAGAUAGCGUGGUUCUUGGGUGGAGUUUCCACUGCCUUACCACCAGACGGUCUGGUUCUCAGGGAAAACGCUGCCUCUUUGGCAGAAGGCAGGCGCUGACUGGAUCCCAUAGGAGGCUGACACACUGUGGAGCAAGUGGAAAAGCCCAUCUGACUGACACUGUACUUGGCAAAACGCUGAGGAAAAUGUCAACAGGUCUGUUAAAGACUAGAAGCUGUAUCAGUAAAAAGGACAACCUGUCAGAACGCCUGGGGCUGAGGAGAGUGCUGGGGACCAUCUACUCCCUAAUUCCGCAGGCAGAGCCACCCCUCCUCCACCCUUUCACUGUCUGUCCCCUGAGAGCCUGUGACGGCCAGUGUCUGUGGACACGAUGAUGGACGGACACGCCCAGGCUCCCAGCUAUCCUGCACUGAGGGACCAGCAGAGCAGACAGACAUUAAGCUGGUAGCCCCAUUAAGAAUUCUUAAGCUAAUGCUUAUUCCUGCAAGGAAAAGGGUGUGAGGACUCUUUAAACGUUUACCAAGAGGACAGCGCCUCCCUAGAGGCUGACUCACACUGGCUUUCCCAGCACCUUGGACUGAGUCACUGUCGCUGCCGGAGCCAUCACCUGUCACCAUGCUGGGUGGGAAGCGCUGCAGUGAGGCCUGGCAGAAGCACACGGCGGCAGACACACCUGUGCCCCGGCCAGGUCUUUUCAGCUAGUGCCCGAGGUCCGCUUCCCGACCAGCCUGCGUCCUCGCCUCCCUCACGCACUCACUCCAGUUACCACGGGGAUUGUGUAGGGACAGAUCUGCUGCACUCGGCUCAGGCCUUCUUCACUGCAUCCUCAGGCGCCCUCACUCACUGGCUUAGAAACCUACUUACAGCUGUUUCCUCAGAAUCCACAGCGCUCUGCUCACACGUUCAUAUUCUGUCUGCCCCAUCACAGUGGCCAGUGACGUGGGGCUGCCAGCUGCUGUCCCCAUAAACAGAACUUCCUGGGAACACAGCCACCCCUGUGCAUUUACACAGCGUCACCCCGCGAUGACAGGGUCUGGUGGAGAUGACACAGACCAACGAUCCGAACACCAGAAGGCCUCGCUGUGACAUGCACAGAAAAGGUGAGAAGGUGAGUUCCCUGAGGCCGCAGAGGUUCCUGGGAAAGAGCCCACCCUGGACUGGCCACUGGCUGCUGCCUGCUGGGGCUCUCACGGGUCAGCGUCGAUGCGUCCCCCGAGGUCACUUCAGGGUAAAAGGGUGUCAUGAAGCACAUUUUCUUUCUAGAAUUCCUUGGCAUCAGGGAGAAGCAGGGAGGAGGAAGCUCUAUCGGUGAUCAGCUGUGCGAUCUUGGGCAGGUCAGUCAGCUGGGCCUGCCUUCUCUGAUUUGUACAUAAGAUGCUGACACCUCAUCUGGAGUUCUGGCACACUCACAGGUGAAGCGAGGAACCCCCGCACCACAUCUGGCUCAUGGUACCCGAUAGGGGGCACUUAUGAAAGAACACAGUAUUUCACUGAGCAGGUCACUUACUACCCACAACAUAAAUAAUGUCAAGGAUCAGUGAUUAAGCCACUGGUCUAUGCCAGUGCCAACUGUUUGGAUUAAGUUUUAAUUUCCAUAUUGCUUAUAGGUGAGUUAUUCAAUAAAUUUCAGUAAAGGUCCAACUCUGGAAGUCACAUGACUUUUUGUUACCAGCACUGAUUUUUGUAGGUUCUACAAUAUUAGCAAGUACACAGAGAUUUUGAAUAUUUAUGCACGUGUGGCAGCACGGAGUACGCAGCUUAGACCUCCCUUCACGGAGGAACGGGCAGUUAGCGGAUGCCCUGGGCCCAGGCACGGGCUGCGUGCCUUUGGCCGGGCCAAGGCCAUGCUCUCGUCAGGCAGCUCCCAGACAGCAGCCAGCAUGGCACCGACUGGCUCCCGCCACAUCUGCCCCACAUGAGACGCCCCCGCCGGCUCUCUGCCCGGAACGCCUCCGUGGGUUCGCCAGGCUCCUGCCACGUCCGCAGCACAGCCUGAGGAUCUCCAGGCCAGUCCUGCUUCCUCCCUGUCUGUGUUUCACAGGAUUAUAACUUCAUCUCAGUGUCUGCUUCCCAGCAAACUCAAACUGACAGCAAAUGAAAGGAUGGGAUACACGUU